CACGAUUUAGGGGCACAUUAGGUCGAUUAUUCGGAUGGACGAAGGAUGUUCUGUUCAUCGUACCAAGUUUUAACAAAAACUAUUGAGUUUAAGCACGAGAAUAAGUCUUGCAAGACAAGAAAAUCUGAUGAAGCCACGUGUUACCAAUCAAGUGCGGAAAUGGAUGAAACCUUGAUGAAUGGUUUUUUAUGUGAAGCUACCGAUUUUCCACGCCAGCCUUCCUAUUCCGUAUGACUAGCUGAUCGGACAGCUGAAAAGG